rnacentral:rRNA from 1 species
UACAGAGGGUGCGAGCGUUAAUCGGAAUUACUGGGCGUAAAGGGUGCGUAGGUGGUUACGUAAGUUAGGUGUGAAAGCCCCGGGCUCAACCUGGGAACUGCGCUUAAUACUGCGGGACUAGAGUAUUGUAGAGGUAAGUGGAAUUUCCGGUGUAGCGGUGAAAUGCGUAGAUAUCGGAAGGAACACCAGUGGCGAAGGCGACUUACUGGACAAAAACUGACACUGAGGCACGAAAGCGUGGGGAGCAAACAGG